UAGUUACAGAAUACCCAGAUGGAAUUACUACAAAUCUAUAACACUAAUGGAUACCACCUGGAGAGCUUGGCUUGUAAAAAUGUGGUCCCAUGACAUUGUACCUUGUUUAAUAGCUGGACAUGAAUUUAGAUUGUUUCCAUUAGAUAUGAUCAGCCCAGUUUUAGAAAUGAGGCAACUGUAACUGAGAGGUCACACAGCCACUGAAUCACCAGGAGUCAGGACAACACUAAUGUUGCAGGAGUUGGAAGCCUGGAGUAGCAAAAGGAAGGAGAAGUGCAUGCCUGAGACGAUCGCAGGUUAGCUGAAUAGUCUUCCUAUUUUGAAACAUUGGUCUUUUGUUUCUUUGCUGGAGUAAUAAUGGCCGAGAAGUGACUUUAUCUUGAGAGUACCUGUUACCCGAUAAAGAAGGACAGAGAGGAAUACUCUGGUUUCAUUUUGCUGUUGCUGCCACACAAGAAUCAUGGAUGUUACAAGCAGAAAACAGGAAGGGAGAGUGACUGCAUAGCUCAGGACCACAUUGGAAUACCCUCCAGCAAAUAUUAGAACAGUUGCGGCAAGUAAAACAACUCUGCAUAAGGUUGACAAGGCGAAAGGAAAACGUUCUCCGUGACAAGCAUUUGUCACCUGUACCUCUCCUCUACAAAAGGAGAGAAUCCUGCCUGGACCUCCGAGCCUGGGUCCCCCACGUCUGCCAAGGUGGGUGCUGAGCCUCUCGGCCUGGUGCCCGGAUGUUGGCUGCUCUCAUCAUAGCAACGGGGAAAUAAACACACUGGAACUGUGAGGGCUCCAGAAAGCUAAGGACAGCUUGGAGAAGGUGACAAGGAGACAAGCACAGAGGAAGUGGAAGCUUCCCUGUCAUGCCCUCUUCUAUGUGGCAGUUCCCCGGCAAAUGGCCAAUGCAGGGGACACUAUGAGAGUCCUAGGCUGUGGGUGGGAGUGAAAAAAAUAAAUGCACUUUAGCUAAGAGUCUGAAACGAGUGAAUGGACUGCCACCAAUUCUACAACAAGCAUUAUUGAAGCAAUUUAGGCACAGAUCUUUCACAUAAGAGCACCAGUCUCCCGGGAGGCCAAUCGCAAGAGGAACUCUAAUGCAUGUCAACAGUACGUGGGCUCUGGCCAUGUCCAGGCGACGGGGACAGGCGGGAUGUAGACGGCACGUUCCCAGCUCUUGAGGAGUAACAAUCACUUUUUACAUCUGUGUAGCAUCUCGUUGCUCACCCAGGACAUUCUUGUACAUCAUGUAUCCUCAGCCUGGCCCUGCCACUAAGCAUCGGCACUCUUGGAGAAUGAGUGGUUGCGUGAUUUGAGGAUGGGAAUGCAAGUGGAGAGCUUCACUGUGUUAAGAGCUGCAAAGCAGGAAUGAUUGCUGAUUAUCACAUGUGGGCAAUCUAAAGCAUGUGUAGGGGCAGAGGAAAGCUGCUUCUCUGGCCACUGACGACUCGCUGAAAUGACUGACAGCAGAUAGAUCAAUAGGAGAAAAAGGCAUACACCUGUAUCCAUAUUCAUAUGGACAUGGGAGUUCUGCAAAUCUGAGACUCAACGAAGGCAAGAUUCCUGAUGCUUAAAUAACUCCCUCACAGAAAAGAGGAAAGUUGGGGGCUGUAAACAAUUUUAUAGGAAUAGUAAAUGAUUUUUAGGGGAAAUGAAUGAGUCCAAAAAAUAAUUACCUGCGACAAAGUUCCAGAUGAGGGGAAGGUGGAGGGCAAAAGUUCACUGAACAAAGCUUGUCUUAUUCUGCAGAUAAAGUCUUCCAGGUAAUACUGUUAAGUAGAUAGUGAAGGACCUCCAGCUGUCCCAGGGACAAAGGGGGGGAGCCCCAGCUUGGUCCUGCCUUGAGCAAUUGCCACACCUGUGGGGCAAUUACCACCUGUGGGGGAGGAGGAAUGCCCUGCCCAUCUGCAAAAGAAUGAAGGGGGUUUUUCUCAGCUCCUGUGCCAGGCAGCCCAGGCACAAUAUGAUCUGGAAAGUGACCUAGAGUAGCCUAAGCCUAAUUAUUAUUAACUGGCCAUGCAAGUGGUUCCAUGGUGACAGGAGGAGGGCCCAUUCUGACAGUACAAAACAGGACCCCAGACCAUAACCAGAGCCUCUCGUUAGGA